UACGGAGGGUGCGAGCGUUACUCGGAAUUACUGGGCGUAAAGCGUGCGCAGGCGGUUUUGUAAGCCAGAUGUGAAAUCCCCGGGCUCAACCUGGGAAUGGCGAUGAAGACUGCAAGGCUAGAAUCUGGCAGAGGGGGGUAGAAUUCCACGUGUAGCAGUGAAAUGCGUAGAGAUGUGGAGGAACACCGAUGGCGAAGGCAGCCCCCUGGGUCAAGAUUGACGCUCAUGCACGAAAGCGUGGGGAGCAAACAGG
rnacentral:rRNA from 1 species